CCCACGGGGGGCAGCAGUGGGGAAUAUUGGACAAUGGGGGGAACCCUGAUCCAGCCAUGCCGCGUGUGUGAAGAAGGCCCUCGGGUUGUAAAGCACUUUCAGUGAGGAAGAACGCCUGGUGGUUAAUACCCAUCAGGAAAGACAUCACUCACAGAAGAAGCACCGGCUAACUCCGUGCCAGCAGCCGCGGUAAUACGGAGGGUGCGAGCGUUAAUCGGAAUUACUGGGCGUAAAGCGCGCGUAGGUGGCUUGAUAAGCCGGUUGUGAAAGCCCCGGGCUCAACCUGGGAACGGCAUCCGGAACUGUCAAGCUAGAGUGCAGGAGAGGAAGGUAGAAUUCCCGGUGUAGCGGUGAAAUGCGUAGAGAUCGGGAGGAAUACCAGUGGCGAAGGCGGCCUUCUGGACUGACACUGACACUGAGGUGCGAAAGCGUGGGUAGCAAACAGGAUUAGAUACCCUUGUAGUC
rnacentral:rRNA from 1 species